UACAGAGGUCCCGAGCGUUGUUCGGAUUCACUGGGCGUAAAGGGUGUGUAGGUGGUUGGGUAAGUCUGAUGUGAAAUCUCCGGGCUCAACCCGGAAAUGGCAUUGGAUACUAUUCGGCUAGAGGUUUGGAGGGGGGACUGGAAUUCUCGGUGUAGCAGUGAAAUCGUAGAUAUCGAGAGGAACACCAGUGGCGAAGGCGAGUCCCUGGACAACACCUGACACUGAGGCACGAAAGCUAGGGGGAGCAAACAGG
rnacentral:rRNA from 1 species